AUUGAACGCUGGCGGCAUGCCUAACACAUGCAAGUCGAACGGCAGCGCGGGGGCAACCCUGGCGGCGAGUGGCGGACGGGUGAGGAAUGCAUCGGAAUCUACCUUCUGGUGGGGGAUAACCAGCCGAAAGGCUGGCUAAUACCGCAUAAGACCGAGAGGUGAAAGCGGGGGACCGAAAGGCCUCGCGCGAGAAGAUGAGCCGAUGUCCGAUUAGCUAGUUGGCGGGGUAAGAGCCCACCAAGGCGACGAUCGGUAGCUGGUCUGAGAGGAUGAUCAGCCACACUGGGACGGAGACACGGCCCAGACUCCUACGGGAGGCAGCAGUGGGGAAUAUUGGACAAUGGGCGCAAGCCUGAUCCAGCAAUGCCGCGUGUGUGAAGAAGGCCUUCGGGUUGUAAAGCACUUUUAUCGGGAACGAAAAGCGAUCGGUUAAUAACCGGUCGUGCUGACGGUACCCGAGGAAUAAGCACCGGCUAACUUCGUGCCAGCCGCCGCGGUAAAAC
rnacentral:rRNA from 1 species